GGGGAAUUUUGGACAAUGGGGGCAACCCUGAUCCAGCCAUGCCGCGUGAGUGAAGAAGGCCUUCGGGUUGUAAAGCUCUUUCGGACGGAAAGAAAACGCAUGGGUUAAUACCCUGUUCCGAUGACGGUACCGUCAUAAGAAGCAUCGGCUAACUACGUGCCAGCAGCCGCGGUAAUACGUAGGGGUGCGAGCGUUAAUCGGAAUUACUGGGCGUAAAGCGUGCGCAGGCGGCUUUUUAAGUCGGAUGUGAAAUCCCCGAGCUUAACUUGGGAAUUGCAUUCGAGACUGGGAAGCUAGAGUAUGGGAGAGGAUGGUAGAAUUCCAGGUGUAGCGGUGAAAUGCGUAGAGAUCUGGAGGAAUACCGAUGGCGAAGGCAGCCAUCUGGCCUAAUACGGACGCUGAGGUACGAAAGCAUGGGGAGCAAACA
rnacentral:rRNA from 1 species